CUCCAUGUCUCUUCAUCCCUCGGAUGCGGAGACAAGGAGCUUUCUGUGAAGCCGGGCCGUAAGGCAUCCGGUGGAGAGAUCGGAAGCGAGAAUGUUGACAUGAGUAGCGACAAACAGGGUGAGAGACCCUGUCGCCGAAAGUCCAAGGGUUCCUGCUUAAAGCUAAUCUGAGCAGGGUAAGCCGGCCCCUAAGGCGAGGCCGAAAGGCGUAGUCGAUGGGAACCAGGUUAAUAUUCCUGGGCCAGGAGGAUGUGACGGAUCGCAGGUGUAGUUCGGUCUUAUCGGAUUGACCGGGCUGCUGAGCGGUCCCUGGAAAUAGCCCUCCAUCAGACCGUACCCCAAACCGACACAGGUGGACUGGUAGAGAAUACCAAGGCGCUUGAGAGAACCACAUCAAAGGAACUCGGCAAAAUGCCUCCGUAAGUUCGCGAGAAGGAGGCCCCGUCUGUAGGCAACUAUGGGCGGGGGGCACAAACCAGGGGGUGGCGACUGUUUACUUAAAACACAGGGCUGUGCGAAGCCGCAAGGCGACGUAUACAGUCUGACGCCUGCCCGGUGCUGGAAGGUUAAAAGGAGGAGUGCAAGCUCCGAAUUGAAGCCCCAGUAAACGGCGGCCGUAACUAUAACGGUCCUAAGGUAGCGAAAUUCCUUGUCGGGUAAGUUCCGACCUGCACGAAUGGCGUAACGAUCUCCCCGCUGUCUCUGAUGUGGACUCAGCGAAAUUGAACUGUGUGUCAAGAUGCACACUUCCCGCGGUUAGACGGAAAGACCCCAUGAACCUUUACUAUAGCUUCGCACUGGCAUCAGGAUUGUGAUGUGCAGGAUAGGUGGUAGGCAUCGAAGCGGGGACGCCAGUUCCCGUGGAGCCAACCUUGAGAUACCACCCUUCGCCAUCUUGAUGUCUAACCGCGGCCCGUUAUCCGGGUCCGGGACCCUGCGUGGUGGGUAGUUUGACUGGGGCGGUCGCCUCCCAAACAGUAACGGAGGCGCGCGAUGGUGGGCUCAGACCGGUCGGAAAUCGGUCGUCGAGUGCAAUGGCAGAAGCCCGCCUGACUGCAAGACUGACAAGUCGAGCAGAGACGAAAGUCGGCCAUAGUGAUCCGGUGGUCCCGAGUGGAAGGGCCAUCGCUCAACGGAUAAAAGGUACUCUGGGGAUAACAGGCUGAUGAUGCCCAAGAGUCCAUAUCGACGGCAUCGUUUGGCACCUCGAUGUCGGCUCAUCUCAUCCUGGGGCUGGAGCAGGUCCCAAGGGUAUGGCUGUUCGCCAUUUAAAGAGGUACGUGAGCUGGGUUUAGAACGUCGUGAGACAGUUCGGUCCCUAUCUGCCGUGGGUGUAGGAGACUUGAGAAGAGUUGCCCCUAGUACGAGAGGACCGGGGUGAACGAUCCACUGGUGGACCAGUUGUCGUGCCAACGGCAGUGCUGGGUAGCUAUGAUCGGACAGGAUAACCGCUGAAGGCAUCUAAGCGGGAAGCCCCCUUCAAAACAAGGUCUCCCUUGAGGGCCGUGGAAGACCACCACGUCGAUAGGCCAGAGGUGUAAGCGCAGCAAUGCGUUCAGCUGACUGGUACUAAUUGCCCGAUAGGCUUGAUCUG
rnacentral:rRNA from 1 species